GAUGAACGCUGGCGGCGUGCCUAAUACAUGCAAGUCGAGCGAACGGACGAGAAGCUUGCUUUUCUGAUGUUAGCGGCGGACGGGUGAGUAACACGUGGAUAACCUACCUAUAAGACUGGGAUAACUUCGGGAAACCGGAGCUAAUACCGGAUAAUAUUUUGAACCGCAUGGUUCAAAAGUGAAAGACGGUCUUGCUGUCACUUAUAGAUGGAUCCGCGCCGCAUUAGCUAGUUGGUAAGGUAACGGCUUACCAAGGCAACGAUGCAUAGCCGACCUGAGAGGGUGAUCGGCAACACUGGAACUGAGACACGGUCCAGACUCCUACGGGAGGCAGCAGUAGGGAAUCUUCCGCAAUGGGAGAAAGCCUGACGGAGCAACGCCGCGUGAGUGAUGAAGGUCUUCGGAUCGUAAAACUCUGUUAUUAGGGAAGAACAUAUGUGUAAGUAACUGUGCACAUCUUGACGGUACCUAAUCAGAAAGCCACGGCUAACUACGUG
rnacentral:rRNA from 1 species